UCACCUUCGGGUGAGAGAGUAAAGUGGCGCACGGGUGAGUAACGCGUAGGUAACCUACCCCUGGGUCUGGGAUAACUCCGCGAAAGCGGUGCUAAUACCGGAUAACAUCCAGCAGGGGGACCUGCUGGAUCAAAGGUGGCCUCUCCAUGGAAGCUACUGCCUGGGGAUGGGCCUGCGUCCCAUUAGCUUGUUGGUAGGGUAAUGGCCUACCAAGGCUACGAUGGGUAGCUGGUCUGAGAGGAUGAUCAGCCACACUGGAACUGGAACACGGGCCAGACUCCUACGGGAGGCAGCAGUGAGGAAUAUUGCGCAAUGGGGGAAACCCUGACGCAGCGACGCCGCGUGAGUGAGGAAGGCCUUCGGGUCGUAAAGCUCUGUCAGAAGGGAAGAAGUGUUCAACGGUUAAUACCCGUUGGAUUUGACGGUACCUUCAAAGGAAGCACCGGCUAACUCCGUGCCAGCAGCCGCGGUAAUACGGAGGGUGCAAGCGUUGUUCGGAAUCACUGGGCGUAAAGGGCGCGCAGGCGGUUUGUUAAGUCAGAUGUGAAAGCCCACGGCUCAACCGUGGAAGUGCAUUUGAAACUGGCAGACUUGAGUACCAGA
rnacentral:rRNA from 1 species